ncrna:unclassified sequences RAGATH-18 RNA
CUUGUGGACUGUUAUAGCAAAUGGAAGUAGAUUUUAUAUCUCAUGAUAUAAAAACAAAACCAGACAGGUUGAAGCAAGAA